UACAGAGGUCUCAAGCGUUGUUCGGAUUCAUUGGGCGUAAAGGGCGCGUAGGCUGCGGGGUAAGUCGGGUGUGAAAUCUCAGAGCUCAACUCUGAAACUGCACUCGAUACUGCUCUGCUUGAGGACUGGAGAGGAGACUGGAAUUCACGGUGUAGCAGUGAAAUGCGUAGAUAUCGUGAGGAAGACCAGUGGCGAAGGCGGGUCUCUGGACAGUUCCUGACACUGAGACACGAAGGCCAGGGGAGCAAACGGG
rnacentral:rRNA from 1 species